CCUACGGGUGGCAGCAGUGAGGAAUAUUGGUCAAUGGACGAGAGUCUGAACCAGCCAAGUAGCGUGAAGGAUGACUGCCCUAUGGGUUGUAAACUUCUUUUAUAGGGGAAUAAAAUGUUCCACGUGUGGGAGUUUGUAUGUACCAUAUGAAUAAGGAUCGGCUAACUCCGUGCCAGCAGCCGCGGUAAUACGGAGGAUCCGAGCGUUAUCCGGAUUUAUUGGGUUUAAAGGGAGCGUAGGGGGAUUGUUAAGUCAGUUGUGAAAGUUUGCGGCUCAACCGUAAAAUUGCAGUUGAAACUGGCAGUCUUGCGUCCAGUAGAGGUGGGCGGCCUUCGUGGUGUAGCGG
rnacentral:rRNA from 1 species